CAGAAAUCCGACUGUGCCAUAUGGUUCCAAACGUGGUGCUGGAGACAUUUGGGAUUUUUGGAAAUCCUUGAUGAUCCUUGCUUGGCUCUCAGCAAAUGAUGUUUAACCAAGGGAAAGCUCAGAGCUCUUCAUUUGAGCUUCAGGGAGAGGCAAAACUGUUUCACACAAGUUCCUGAUGUUGUUUGGAGAAAAGUUCCCAGUUCAACAGGUAGCCCCAAAAGGCAUCACAGGCACACAGCUCCUUCCUCCUCCCUCCCAGUCCCUGGUGGUUUAAUGUCAAACUGGAUUAUGGAAUUGAAGAAGAACUCUGGCAAGGUGAUCAUCAGAAAUAUGAAGGCAUAAUUGCAAGUGAAAGAUUGGAGUUCAAUCUCGGAGGUAAUUAAUUAUCGUUGCAAAAGCACACUGUAUGUACAACUACUUAAAUCACUUUAUCUAAGCUGUGUC
rnacentral:lncRNA from 12 species